AUUGAACGCUGGCGGCAGGCCUAACACAUGCAAGUCGAACGAGUGGCGGACGGGUGAGUAAAGUCUGGGAAACUGCCUGAUGGCGGGGGAUAACUCAUGGGAACAGGAGCUCAUACCGCAUACCAUCGGGGGUGCCCAGAUGGGGUUAGCGAGUGGGUGGGGUAAAGGCGCACAAAGGCGACGAUCCCUAGCUGGUCUGAGAGGAUGACCAGCCACACGGGAACUGAGCCACGGCCCAGACUCCUACGUGAGGCAGCAGUGGGGAAUAUUGCACAAUGGGCGAAAGCCUGAUGCAGCCAUGCCGCGUGUAUGAAGAAGGCCUUCGGGUUGUAAAGCACUUUCAGCGGGGAGGCGUUACCCGCAGAAGAAGCACCGGCUAACUCCGUGCCAGCAGCCGCGGUAAUUC
rnacentral:rRNA from 1 species